rnacentral:rRNA from 1 species
GGCCAGACUCCUACGGGAGGCAGCAGUGGGGGAUAUUGCACAAUGGGGGGAACCCUGAUGCAGCGACGCCGCGUGGGUGAAGGAGUAUUUCGGUAUGUAAAGCCCUAUCGGCAGGGAAGAAGCAAGACGGUACCUGACUAAGAAGCCCCGGCUAACUACGUGCCAGCAGCCGCGGUAAUACGUAGGGGGCGAGCGUUAUCCGGAUUCACUGGGUGUAAAGGGAGCGCAGGCGGCACGGCAAGUCUGGUGUGAAAGCCCGGGGCCCAACCCCGGGACUGCAUUGGAAACUGCCGGGCUGGAGUGCCGGAGGGGCAGGCGGAAUUCCUGGUGUAGCGGUGAAAUGCGCAGAUAUCAGGAAGAACACCGGUGGCGCAGGCGGCUUGCUGGACGGCAACUGACGCUGAGGCUCGAAAGCGUGGGGAGCAAACAGGAUUAGAUACCCGAGUAAA